rnacentral:rRNA from 1 species
GAUGAACGCUAGCGAUAGGCUUAACACAUGCAAGUCGAGGGGCAGCAUGGUCUUAGCUUGCUAAGGCUGAUGGCGACCGGCGCACGGGUGCGUAACGCGUAUGCAACUUGCCUCACAGAGGGGGAUAACCCGUCGAAAGACGGACUAAUACCGCGUACACUCUAUGUUGGGCAUCCAAUGUAGAGGAAAUGAAAUUCGCUGUGAGAUAGGCAUGCGUCCCAUUAGCUAGUUGGUGAGGUAACGGCUCACCAAGGCGACGAUGGGUAGGGGAACUGAGAGGUUGAACCCACACACUGGUACUGAGACACGGACCAGACUCCUACGGGAGGCAGCAGUGAGGAAUAUUGGUCAAUGGGCGAGAGCCUGAACCAGCCAAGUCGCGUGAAGGAUGACUGUCUUAUGGAUUGUAAACUUCUUUUAUACGGGAAUAACAAGAGUCACGUGUGGCUCCCUGCAUGUACCGUAUGAAUAAGCAUCGGCUAACUCCGUG